rnacentral:rRNA from 1 species
AACGAACGCUGGCGGCAGGCCUAAAACAUGCAAGUCGAACGGCAGCGGGGGGAGCUUGCUCCCUGCCGGCGAGUGGCGAACGGGUGAGUAACGCGUAGGGAUCUGCCUGUUAGAGGGGGAUAAGUCGUGGAAACGCGGUCUAAUACCGCAUACGCUCUAAGGAGGAAAGUAUGGGACCGAAAGGCCAUACGCUAACAGAUGAACCCGCGUUAGAUUAGCUAGUUGGUAGGGUAAAGGCCUACCAAGGCGACGAUCUAUAGCUGGUCUGAGAGGAUGACCAGCCACACUGGAACUGAGAUACGGACCAGACUCCUACGGGAGGCAGGAGUGGGGAAUAUUGGACAAUGGGGGCAACCCUGAUCCAGCGAUGCCGCGUGUGUGAAGAAGGCCUGAGGGUUGUAAAGCACUUUAGUUGGGGAGGAAAGCCUGAGGAUGAAUAAGCCUUAGGGGAGACGUUACCCAAAGAAUAAGCACCGGCUAACUCUGUGCCAGCCGCCGCAGUAA